rnacentral:rRNA from 1 species
UACGUAGGGAGCAAGCGUUAUCCGGAUUUACUGGGUGUAAAGGGCGUGUAGGCGGGAUUGUAAGUCAGAUGUGAAAACCAGGGGCUCAACCUCUGGCCUGCAUUUGAAACUGCAGUUCUUGAGUACUGGAGAGGCAGACGGAAUUCCUAGUGUAGCGGUGAAAUGCGUAGAUAUUAGGAGGAACACCAGUGGCGAAGGCGGUCUGCUGGACAGCAACUGACGCUGAGGCGCGAAAGCGUGGGGAGCAAACAGG